GAUGUAUAGGGGCUGACGCCUGCCCGGUGCUGGAAGGUUAAGAGGAGUGGUUAGCUUCUGCGAAGCUACGAAUCGAAGCCCCAGUAAACGGCGGCCGUAACUAUAACGGUCCUAAGGUAGCGAAAUUCCUUGUCGGGUAAGUUCCGACCCGCACGAAAGGCGUAACGAUUUGGGCACUGUCUCAACGAGAGACUCGGUGAAAUCAUAGUACCUGUGAAGAUGCAGGUUACCCGCGACAGGACGGAAAGACCCCGUGGAGCUUUACUGUAGCCUGAUAUUGAAAUUCGGCACAGCUUGUACAGGAUAGGUAGGAGCCUUUGAAACGUGAGCGCUAGCUUACGUGGAGGCGCUGGUGGGAUACUACCCUAGCUGUGUUGGCUUUCUAACCCGCACCACUUA
rnacentral:rRNA from 1 species